UAAUACAGAGGGUGCAAGCGUUAUCCGGAAUCAUUGGGCGUAAAGCGUCCGCAGGCUGUUAGUUAAGUAGGAUAUUAAAGGCGGUAGCUCAACUAUCGUAAUGUAUCCUAAACUGGCUAGCUAGAGACUCAUAGAGGUAAGUGGAAUUCUGCAUGUAGGGGUAAAAUCCGUAGAUAUGCAGAGGAACACCAAAAGCGAAAGCAGCUUACUGGAUGAGUUCUGACGCUCAGGGACGAAAGCGUGGGGAUCAAACAGG
rnacentral:rRNA from 1 species